AACGAACGCUGGCGGCAUGCCUAACACAUGCAAGUCGAACGAGACCUUCGGGUCUAGUUGCGCACGGGUGCGUAACGCGUGGGAACCUGCCCUUAGGUUCGGAAUAACUCCCCGAAAGGGGUGCUAAUACCGGAUAAUGUCUUCGCACCAAAGAUUUAUCGCCUUUGGAUGGGCCCGCGUUGGAUUAGCUAGUUGGUAGGGUAAAAGCCUACCAAGGCGACGAUCCAUAGCUGGUCUGGGAGGAUGAUCAGCCACACUGGGACUGAGACACGGCCCAGACUCCUACGGGAGGCAGCAGUGGGGAAUAUUGGACAAUGGGCGAAAGCCUGAUCCAGCAAUGCCGCGUGAGUGAGGAAGGCCUUAGGGUUGUAAAGCUCUUUUGCCCGGGAUGAUAAUGACAGUACCGGGAGAAUAAGCUCCGGCUAACUCCGUG
rnacentral:rRNA from 1 species